GGCUGGUCCGAUGGCAGUGGGUUAUCAGAACUUAUUAACAUUAGUGUCACUAAAGUUGGUAUACCACACACCCCCCCCUGCUAAAUUUGACUGGCUUAAA
ensembl:misc_RNA Y_RNA Y RNA